UACGUAGGGGGCAAGCGUUGUCCGGAUUUAUUGGGCGUAAAGAGCGUGUAGGCGGCCUGAAAGGUCAGCUGUGAAAACUCGAGGCUCAACCUCGAGACGUCGGUUGAAACCAUCUGGCUAGAGUCCGGAAGAGGAGUGUGGAAUUCCCGGUGUAGCGGUGAAAUGCGCAGAUAUCGGGAAGAACACCCGUGGCGAAGGCGGCACUCUGGGACGGUACUGACGCGUGAGACGCGAAAGCGUGGGGAGCGAACGAGG
rnacentral:rRNA from 1 species